AGGUGAUUAGUUUAAUAGGAACGUCUAUUUUGAAAAUAGAAAGUAAAAAUUAUUUUUAUUACCUU
rnacentral:tRNA from 1 species